GUAGAACGCUGAAGAGAGGAGCUUGCUCUUCUUGGAUGAGUUGCGAACGGGUGAGUAACGCGUAGGUAACCUGCCUUGUAGCGGGGGAUAACUAUUGGAAACGAUAGCUAAUACCGCAUAACAAUGGAUGACACAUGUCAUUUAUUUGAAAGGGGCAAUUGCUCCACUACAAGAUGGACCUGCGUUGUAUUAGCUAGUAGGUGAGGUAACGGCUCACCUAGGCGACGAUACAUAGCCGACCUGAGAGGGUGAUCGGCCACACUGGGACUGAGACACGGCCCAGACUCCUACGGGAGGCAGCAGUAGGGAAUCUUCGGCAAUGGGGGCAACCCUGACCGAGCAACGCCGCGUGAGUGAAGAAGGUUUUCGGAUCGUAAAGCUCUGUUGUAAGUCAAGAACGAGUGUGAGAGUGGAAAGUUCACACUGUGACGGUAGCUUACCAGAAAGGGACGGCUAACUACGUGCCAGCAGCCGCGGUAAUACGUAGGUCCCGAGCGUUGUCCGGAUUUAUUGGGCGUAAAGCGAGCGCAGGCGGUUUGAUAAGUCUGAAGUUAAAGGCUGUGGCUCAACCAUAGUUCGCUUUGGAAACUGUCAAACUUGAGUGCAGAAGGGGAGAGUGGAAUUCCAUGUGUAGCGGUGAAAUGCGUAGAUAUAUGGAGGAACACCGGUGGCGAAAGCGGCUCUCUGGUCUGUAACUGACGCUGAGGCUCGAAAGCGUGGGG
rnacentral:rRNA from 1 species